rnacentral:rRNA from 1 species
CCAGACUCCUACGGGAGGCAGCAGUUAGGAAUAUUCGUCAAUGGGGGAAACCCUGAACGAGCAAUGCCGCGUGAACGAUGACGGUCCUCUGGAUUGUAAAGUUCUGUUGUUUGGGAAGAACGGCUCUAAUAGGAAAUGAUUAGAGAUUGACUGUACCAUUCAAGAAAGCCACGGCUAACUACGUGCCAGCAGCCGCGGUAAUACGUAGGUGGCGAGCGUUAUCCGGAUUUACUGGGUGUAAAGGGUGCGUAGGCGGCUUGGCAAGUCAGUAGUGAAAUCCAUGGGCUUAACCCAUGAACUGCUAUUGAAACUGUCGAGCUUGAGUGAAGUAGAGGUAGGCGGAAUUCCCGGUGUAGCGGUGAAAUGCGUAGAGAUCGGGAGGAACACCAGUGGCGAAGGCGGCCUACUGGGCUUUAACUGACGCUGAGGCACGAAAGCGUGGGUAGCAAACAGGAUUAGAUACCCUUGUAA